rnacentral:rRNA from 1 species
UACGGAAGGCAGCAGUGGGGAAUAUUGCACAAUGGGCGCAAGCCUGAUGCAGCCAUGCCGCGUGUAUGAAGAAGGCCUUCGGGUUGUAAAGUACUUUCAGCGGGGAGGAAGGCGAUGCGGUUAAUAACCGCGUCGAUUGACGUUACCCGCAGAAGAAGCACCGGCUAACUCCGUGCCAGCAGCCGCGGUAAUACGGAGGGUGCAAGCGUUAAUCGGAAUUACUGGGCGUUAAAGCGCACGCAGGCGGUCUGUUAAGUCAGAUGUGAAAUCCCCGGGCUUAACCUGGGAACUGCAUUUUGAAACUGGCAGGCUUGAGUCUUGUAGAGGGGGUAGAAUUCCAGGUGUAGCGGUGAAAUGCGUAGAGAUCUGGAGGAAUACCGGUGGCGAAGGCGGCCCCUGGGACAAAGACUGACGCUCAGGUGCGAAAGCGUGGGGAGCAAACAGGGAUAGGAUACC